GGACACACUGAAGAGUAGAUGGAACAGGAGACAAAAGAGGGUCUGGCUACCCAAAAGCUACUUCUCCUCUGUUCCUGUGGUUGCUGGAAUUAUGUUUUAGAGAAGAUUCAGCAUCCUAGAUGAGUAACUGGCCACCACAUGAGCUAGCCUGCAACUGUAAGCCAAAGCAGCAUUUUAAAUAUGAGAACUGGCAGUUUCUAAGUACGGCAAAGGCAAAGAUGUCUGCUGAGAUGGGAAAGAACCUUUCUCUGCGCCUUAGGUUGGCUGGGGACUUCAGCAAGCCUCCUGCAUGGGACUCCUCAUGUCAUUCUCCAGCGCUGAAUCCAGGGCUAUCUACCACUCCCUUCAACUGACCUGCUCAUUUGGCAGUACGGAAGACCAGGGCUGGUGGUUGCUUCUGUAUAAGUUCCCUUUCUGCCCCAGGAAGGCAGGAGUGUGCCAAUUCUACUAGCAUAUGACUUGUCAGUUCGAAAGCACUUAUUUCCCCAACAAUAUAUAUGUAGCUUUCUGCGGGCUAGCCAGCUACCUGCAGGGUUGCAGUGAUGCUGCCCUGCCUUGGGUUAUGCUUCUGCUCUCACUGAAAUGAGCAGUGUCUUCAGCAGUUCAGGACUGGACCACAAACUACAGCAUUUCUGGGAUCCUUCAAGAUGAAAGGCACUCCACAUGGUCCUUCCUCCUAGCUUUUGGGGCACUUCAGCUACUUCUAAAUUGUUGGCAUUGGCAGCACAUCUUACCUCUGAGUACACAUCUUUGCGAGCAUCCUGACAGCCAGUGGGGGUGAAACCUGGAUGUGCUCCAACCUGUCUUGCUACCCCAGGAGACUGCUUAGAUGCCAGACAAACUUAUGAAGAACCCACAUGGUGCCGGAGCAGGAUGAUGCUUGUUACUAAAAAAUUAAUUAUUCUCUCUCAUGACAUGC